UUUUAUUACUCUUUUUGCAGAGCAACUCUUUCUUCUUUGCAAUAGUCUGGGAAAAUAUAAUAACAUUACAUGAUCAUGGUAUUUCAUUAAAAUAUGUUAAAAUAUUAAAGAUAUAUACUAUUAUAUUUAUGUAAUCGUACAAAAACUAUUGGGAUGCCAAGAUGCAGCAACAUAGAACCAUUUCUUUUUUCUCCACCCAAGCACCCACACUGACCAAUAAUUCAUUUUCUGAAAAUAUUUCAAAUCUUAGACAUCAUGUUCAUAUUCUGUGAGCAGCAAAAGAUGGCCACUGGAAUAAGAAUGGGUGGAAAAUCAAUAGCUCGGUAUACUCCUCAAAACCAACAGAUGAGACAGAACUGCAGGAUCCCGUUUACAGCUCUUGAACCUACAAAAUAUGCAUGAUGUACCAUCACAAUUGGCUAAGUUUGUAACAAAUGGGAUCUAAUCAAGAAAUCUAAUUAAAAUACAAAGAUAAGUGCGUUAACUGGGAAAGAACUGCAGCUCUAUGAGAAGCUGCUGGCUAGUGAAUGGUUGAUCCUACAAACCUCUUCAAAUGUCAACAAAGAAAGUUUGUGGCCUGUGUAUAAGAAAAUAACUGGCAUUACCUCUCAAUUUUUCUACUUGUUCAGAAGAUUUACAUUAAGCAGGAUUGCUGGCUUUUAAGUCCAGACACCAACAUCUGUAAUUUGAUCUUGAGAUCUCAUAUAGCUCUUCUGGGGUCAUCUUCUCAAGUUCCUUGGGUUUCCAGAAGUCAAAACCAUCACAGAUACUUUCUAUCCCUGAUCCUUCCACCUGAUGAUUUUGGCCACGCAUUCUCUUGUACAGUCUCAUCACUGAUACACAGUCUUCAUAAGGAUCAUGUACCCCUGUCUGAAUAUCAUACCCUAGAUAUGAUUGCACAAGGUACUUCAGUGAGUGGCUAACCAGAUUAGUCUUCAUCAAAGGAGGGUAUUUUGCUGUAUCCCUACAUGAUCAAAAUUUAAUAUGCCAUAGAAAAAAAAAAAGUAUUUUUAAGCAAUUUCCUACAUUCGCAUUCCAAAUUCCCCUCACUAUAUUAACCAGAACUGAUACCAAUUAAAGUUCAUCGACAUAAUUGAUAAGAUUAAAUGGUUAGGCCAAAAUUGAAAAAUCACACAAAGAUCAAGACCUUUUUGGUCAACAUGUUCAAAUCAAUCACAUACAGAAUUGGGAGAACACCCAAAAAAUUUACAUUGAAUAGUACAAGUUAUUUAUUUCAGACAUCAAUAUCUCUAGGAAGAACCUUUAAAUCUAUCAGUAGAACUUUACUAAAACUAUUUCCUUUAUAUCCUCUAUUUAUUUACUCAGUACUAUCAGUAUUGAGGUCAACAACAGUCAACUUUUAGUUUGCAAGUACAAAGACAAAUCUCAUUUUGAGUUCUCAUACAGAACUUGCCAAAAAUAGUAAUCUAUUUUGAUAACUCUAAUGGGGCGUUGGGUAUGAGGUUAACAAGGAGUAACUAUUACCCUUACUUUUAACCUCUCAUUUAAGUUUUUUAACUAACCUCCUACCAAAUUCCAUUAAUUAUUUUUUUACCUCUUUAAUAAUUACUCCUUUAGAAUUUAUAAGAGUAACACUUAACCUUUAAUUUUUUAACUUUAAAGCAAGCUUCCUAAAGCUUGCUGGUCAAUGAUUGGGUAUGGGCAGGUGUUUAACACCACAAAGACAACUGCCUUUAUGAUAACCUGAUCACAUAAACAAUUAGAAUGUGGACAUAUUUCUGAAAGGAGAUUAGACAGUUAUUAUACUACAGAAGAGUCACUGCAAAACUAACAACUCCAGAAUCGCAGCUGUGCUUGUUACACAAAGAAAAGAUAUUUGUAUCCAAUUAUAUGAGGAAACGUCACUUGGUUUAGAUAACAUUAACAUGGCCAUGAUAUUACUCAAGUCUCAAACAAUGUCACAAAUGGUAAUAUCUUAGGAUUAGUCCACCCAAAAGUGGACAAAUUGACUGCUACUAACCAAAUGGAAAUGGAUAAUAUGUAUCAAGAACCACAAGAAUUCAUCCACAAAAUAACAUCAUCAUCACAGAAUAUUAUAUGAGCUAAUUUCAAUAAUCAAGUCAAUUUAUCUAAUAUAAAUGGAUUAAUGUACCUCAACAGAUGAUCAGGAUAGAACAUUCUCAAGCAAUCCAAAUCAUGGUCCAAGGAAUGACCCACAAGAAGCCUUGCUUUUCCACCACUCAAUCUUAGUUUUCCAAUAGAUUCCCCAUUGUACAAAAUUUCUAAAAUUUUAUCUUGCACUUCCUUAAGUGGCAUGGCAUCUCUUAGGUGCUCUUCAGUUAAGCCAGUUAUUUCAUAUCUGUAGUUAGUUACAGGAAUUUGAGGUUGAACAUACGAGUGGAAAAUUAUAUUUUCAUCUUCAUCAAUAAGGCACACCCUAGCACAAAGACUAAGUGAUCCAUCACUUCCACCACCGACCAUUUCACAGUCGAUAGCAACGGCUUCAACACCUUUGCAAGCAUAAGUUUCAUCAACUGAUCCUGAAAUAUAAAUAUGUGAUUCUGCGCAAGUUGGUAUAUUAGCUGCAAGGGAAGCAGGUGCAGAUAGGCAGCACAUUUCCCUGUGCUUGUCAAGAGAAUUGGGGCUAUCAAAAACUUCCAAGCAAAGAUUGCAACCUCGGUCAGAGAAAAUCUGUGAACAAUUUGCUUUUGCCAAUGGACCAGUAAGAUGUAUUCUCAGAGAUUCAAAAGAUUUGCAAUGCUUCUGACACACUGCACAUCUGGGCUCAUGAGCUGAGUGGUACGAGAUCUUCAUGUGUUCAACAAGAUGUUCCUUUUUCUUAUAUUGCUUGUAGCAUGCAUAACAUUUGUACCUUGUGGUUAGGGCUUUUGUUGGUGAGUAAGAAUCGGAAUCCAUGUAGAUGUAAUCAGCUAAAAUUGAAGGGAGAUUUUUUCUCUUUUGUAUAUCGGUUAGUAGGAAAAAUCACGCCCAAGGACUGACAGUAGACACAACACAAGUCGGGAAUUGGGCGUCUUUCAAGGCAUAUUUCAUUCCCAA
rnacentral:misc_RNA from 1 species